rnacentral:tRNA from 1 species
GCCGAAAUAGCUCAAUAGGCAGAGCAACUGAUUUGUAAUCAGUAGGUUGCGGGUUCAAUUCCUGUUUUCGGCACCA